UCUUGAUUGGUCUAGUGGCUAGGAUACCUGCUUGUCAUCGUUGUUUGUCCUCUAAGCAAAUAUGAGUACGCAGGUGGCCGGGGUUCGAUUCCCCGAUCGAGAG